rnacentral:rRNA from 1 species
AGAUUAAACUGAAGAGUUUGAUCCUGGCUCAGAUUGAACGCUGGCGGCAUGCCUUACACAUGCAAGUCGAACGGUAACAGGUCUUCGGAUGCUGACGAGUGGCGAACGGGUGAGUAAUAUAUCGGAACAUACCCUAGAGUGGGGGAUAACGUAGCGAAAGUUACGCUAAUACCGCAUACGAUCUGAGGAUGAAAGUGGGGGCUCGCAAGACCUCAUGCUCAUGGAGUGGCCGAUAUCUGAUUAGCUAGUUGGUGAGGUAAAGGCUCACCAAGGCGACGAUCAGUAGCUGGUUUGAGAGAACGACCAGCCACACUGGAACUGAGACACGGUCCAGACUCCUACGGGAGGCAGCAGUGGGGAAUUUUGGACAAUGGGGGCAACCCUGAUCCAGCAAUGCCGCGUGAGUGAAGAAGGCCUUCGGGUUGUAAAGCUCUUUUGUCAGGGAAGAAAAGGUAUCCUCUAAUACAGGGUGCUCAUGACGGUACCUGAAGAAUAAGCACCGGCUAACUACGUGCCAGCAGCCGCGGUAAUACGUAGGGUGCAAGCGUUAAUCGGAAUUACUGGGCGUAAAGCGUGCGCAGGCGGUUAUGUAAGUCAGAUGUGAAAUCCCCGGGCUCAACCUGGGAACUGCAUUUGAGACUGCAUGGCUAGAGUGUGUCAGAGGGGGGUAGAAUUCCACGUGUAGCAGUGAAAUGCGUAGAUAUGUGGAGGAAUACCGAUGGCGAAGGCAGCCCCCUGGGAUAACACUGACGCUCAUGCACGAAAGCGUGGGGAGCAAACAGGAUUAGAUACCCUGGUAGUCCACGCCCUAAACGAUGUCUACUAGUUGUUGGGUCUUAAUUGACUUAGUAACGCAGCUAACGCGUGAAGUAGACCGCCUGGGGAGUACGGUCGCAAGAUUAAAACUCAAAGGAAUUGACGGGGACCCGCACAAGCGGUGGAUGAUGUGGAUUAAUUCGAUGCAACGCGAAAAACCUUACCUACCCUUGACAUGUACAGAAUGCCGAAGAGAUUUGGCGGUGCUCGCAAGAGAACUGUAACACAGGUGCUGCAUGGCUGUCGUCAGCUCGUGUCGUGAGAUGUUGGGUUAAGUCCCGCAACGAGCGCAACCCUUGUCAUUAGUUGCUACAUUAAGUUGAGCACUCUAAUGAGACUGCCGGUGACAAACCGGAGGAAGGUGGGGAUGACGUCAAGUCCUCAUGGCCCUUAUGGGUAGGGCUUCACACGUCAUACAAUGGUACAUACAGAGGGCCGCCAACCCGCGAGGGGGAGCUAAUCCCAGAAAGUGUAUCGUAGUCCGGAUUGUAGUCUGCAACUCGACUACAUGAAGUUGGAAUCGCUAGUAAUCGCGGAUCAGCAUGUCGCGGUGAAUACGUUCCCGGGUCUUGUACACACCGCCCGUCACACCAUGGGAGCGGGUUUCACCAGAAGUAGGUAGCUUAACCGCAAGGAGGGCGCUUACCACGGUGGGAUUCGUGACUGGGGUGAAGUCGUAACAAGGUAGCCGUAUCGGAAGGUGCGGCUGGAUCACCUCCUUUCUAG